AACGAACGCUGGCGGCAUGCCUAACACAUGCAAGUCGAACGAGACCUUCGGGUCUAGUGGCGCACGGGUGCGUAACGCGUGGGAACCUGCCCUUAGGUUCGGAAUAACUCCCCGAAAGGGGUGCUAAUACCGGAUAAUGUCUUCGGACCAAAGAUUUAUCGCCUUUGGAUGGGCCCGCGUUGGAUUAGCUAGUUGGUAGGGUAAAAGCCUACCAAGGCGACGAUCGAUAGCUGGUCUGAGAGGAUGAUCAGCCACACUGGGACUGAGACACGGCCCAGACUCCUACGGGAGGCAGCAGUGGGGAAUAUUGGACAAUGGGCGAAAGCCUGAUCCAGCAAUGCCGCGUGAGUGAUGAAGGCCUUAGGGUUGUAAAGCUCUUUUACCCGGGAUGAUAAUGACAGUACCGGGAGAAUAAGCGCCGGCUAACUCCGUG
rnacentral:rRNA from 1 species